GCGGGCGUAGUUCAAUGGUAGAACCUGAGCCUUCCAAGCUCAUGACGCGGGUUCGAUUCCCGUCGCCCGCUCCA
rnacentral:tRNA from 2 species